UUCUCUCAAUUUUCCAAAUUAAUUCAAGAAAACUGUGACCUGAAGCUUGGGAAUGCAAAGCGUGCACACAAGAAUCUCAUUCACUCACCAUCUCUUUCAACGUGAACCUCUCACCCUUCCACAACCAUAGGACAAACCUGCAUGAUUUCAUUGAUGUUCCUUGUCACCCCUUUGCACUACAAAUCACUGGUUCCAAUUCCUGUCUUGAUUCAGAUUCUGGAAUGAGAGCUUGCUAGUUCUCUCACAGGUUUCUGCCCCUUUUCCCCAAUUGGUUUCUGCUACUUCACUUUUCUGCUACUUCAAUUUUGUGGAUGAUGGGGUGGUAUUAUUCAUUGGUGGAAGUUGUGUUGUACUAAGCUGUGCCUGUGGGUAUUUUCUAUCUUUAGGAAAGUCUUCAACUCUUUAUGAUUCAGGGUUUAGUUUAAAGCUAGGUGGAUUGAAUGAGAGACAUGACUUGGGGGGCUGCACUCAAAGGUUCCCCCAAAGUUUAUUCCCAUUCAAGACCUAUCUCUUGGAUUGUGGUUUCAGUAGGAGUACUAGCAGUGUUCUUCUUGACUUUUGCUUGCUGGACUAUGGUGUCAUACCCUAUUGGUUCAACCCUUCAUGGAUAUUUCUAUGGUUCAGAGAGUUCAGAAAAUUCUUAUAUAUCAGUUUCUCUGAUCAAUGAAACUUCUACCGAUCUUACCGCGAAUGUAAGUUUAGAUCUUGCAGCUAGUAAAGCAUCCCCUGAUCUGCAACCUUCCAAAGUUUCCAAUGGUGUGUCAAAUGAUAGCGAGAUAGAUCACACUCAUACUGAAUCAAGAUCACAAGUACCCUACAGUGAAACUGCCUCACCAAUUAUUCCAGAAUCCAAGGAGGUGGAUGCCCUAGUAAAUUCUGUUGUGGCGACUUCUAAUUCGCAAGAUCCUGUGACCUCAUUUGGAAACAGCACAAAUGUGAUUAACAGUAGCUUGCCUGCUCACUCCGAUUCACCAAUUGAUUUGGCUUCAGCUGCACCUACUCCAGUCGCUGGAUCCAAUUCUUCCAGUGUGACGGAUAAUAAUGGAAUGGAGGAUCCAAAUAUAGUAGCUUCUAUGAAUAAGUCCAACACUCUAUUUACAGCAUCAAAAGACUGUGAUCUGUACCAUGGAAAUUGGAUCUAUGAUCCAUUAGGACCAUUAUACACAAACAACUCAUGCCCUGUGCUGACACAAACGCAGAACUGCUUGGGUAAUGGGAGGCCUGAUAAGGAUUAUGAGAACUGGCGAUGGAAACCCCUUCAGUGUGACCUUCCACGAUUUGAUCCCAGCAAGUUUUUAGAGCUAAUGAGAGGAAAGACAUUGGCUUUCAUUGGUGAUUCAGUGGCUCGGAACCAGAUGGAGUCAAUGCUGUGUAUUCUUUGGCAGGUAGAAGAACCCAUGAAUCAGGGAACUCGUAACAUGCAGCGAUAUUAUUUUAAGUCUGCAUCUGUAACGGUUAUACGGAUAUGGUCGUCAUGGCUUGUCAAACACAAUACUGAACCAUUUAACUUUGCCUCAUCUGGUGUGGAGAAGAUCUAUCUUGAUGCCCCUGAUGAGAGGUUGAUGGAGUUGAUCUCAACAUUUGAUGUGCUUGUUCUUUCUUCUGGCCAUUGGUUUGCUAAGCAGUCUGUAUAUAUUUUGAACAACGAGAUUGUGGGAGGACAACUGUGGUGGCCGGACAAGUCUCGGCACAUGAAGAUCAACAAUGUUGAAGCAUUUGGUAUUUCUGUGGAAACAGUUUUCACUGCUCUUGUUACACAUCCAAAUUAUACAGGGCUCACAAUUUUGCGCUCUUAUUCCCCGGAUCACUACGAGGGUGGGGCCUGGAACACAGGUGGAUCAUGCACUGGAAAAGUUAAGCCUCUUGCCCCCGGUGAGUUGGUGGAAAAUAAGCAUACCGAUGCGAUGCAUGAGCAACAGGUAGCAGGUUUUAAUCGAGCGAUAAAAAAGACAACAAAUAGAUCAAAAAUGAGACUGAUGGAUAUUACUGAAGCCUUUCAGUACCGGGUUGAUGGUCAUCCUGGCCCAUACAGGAGCCCUGACCCGAACAAGAUUACAACACGCGGCCCAAAUGGAAGGCCACCGCCACAGGAUUGCUUGCAUUGGUGCAUGCCAGGCCCUGUAGAUACCUGGAAUCAAAUUGUGUUUGAAAUCAUUAAGAGAGAAUAUGAAGGUGACAGGGCAGCAUGAGAUCUAUUUUUUUUCCUUGACAGCCAAGCUACAUUCACCUUCUGCACUCAGGAGGGUGACUUUUGCAGAAAUGUGCCUGUCUGAAGAGGGGUAAAACUGAAAUGAAGAUGGGAAGUUCGAUUGGCUGUUUGGUAUAAGAUGCAUUUGGGAUUUUGAAGCCAAAGUUUGGAAAUUGGAGUGCCACCAUUCUAGUAGAAUGGGAAUUCAAGAUCUCCAAAUUCAUGGUAUCUGAUGUAUAUUUUGAGUAGUUUUCUACUGUCACGCCAAGGAGAUGUUAGUUCAUAAAUACUGUAGUAUGUAGUCCGGGAAUAUGUCACUUGAACAUGUAACCAAGAGGGAUGCAUAGUAAACGCCCCCCCAGGUUCACUCUUUUUAAACUCUUAGUAACAUGAGGAUUAUGGUUAUGUUUCACUUAGUAUACUACAUGGGGCAUGUACUGAAUUUUAUGAGGAAUGAAGGAAGUCUGUUUUUACUUUUUA